AUAUAUUUAAAUGCCAUUUAACAAAGAAAAAUCAACCAAAAAAAUGAGUUCACGUGUCACCUCUGACACGCGUGUCAUAGGUUCGCCAUCACUGCUGUAGGGUCUCGGAUGGUAUCCAAGGUCUCUUCGGGUGAAGGUAAGUCUGGGUUUCUGAUUAGAGCCGCUCUCCCCUUCAAGAUGGUGAGGUCUUUGUGGCAGAGCUGGCCACCCAGGAGAGAUUUCAGCAGUAGUAGAGGGUGCCCAGCCAGGGAAGCCUAGUCCACCAGUCCCUGACAGUCCUGUGGAAUAUAACUGUCCCUCACUCACUCAUACACGCACUCCCUGCAUGUCCAUGCACUCUCCUUUUGCUCUACCACUCACUCAAACUGUCUCCCUCACUGCCGUGCUGUUGGCCUGCCAUCUUGGAUCCUCCUUGAGCAUUUUUAAAAAAUAGAAAUAAAUUCGGACUUCACACACAAAAAAAUAAAUAAAUAAAAAUAAAGUGUACAACCUAAUGGUUUGAUGUACAUUGUGAGAGAAUUCCCCCAGUAAGUUAAUGAACACAUGAUUUGCAUCUUUUGCCAUGGCCGCAUGGCUUAGGUGGUUGGAGCAUCGUCCCAUACACCAAAAAGUUAUGGGUUUGACACUUGAUCGAGGGCACAUACCUAGGUUGCAGGUUGGAUCCCCAGUCGGGGUGUGUAUGAAAGGCAACUGAUCGAUGUUUCUAUCACAUCAAUGUUUUUUUUCUCUCGCCCCCGUCCUUUUUAAAAUAAAUUUAAAAAGAAAAAAGAAAAAAAAAGAAAAAAAACCCUCCCUCUAUCUUUUUUCCUUCAUGAGUCUGGUUAUAGGUUUGUCCAUCUUGUUUAUCUUUUGCAAGAACCAGAUCUUGGUUUUAUUGAUUUCAUUGUAUUUUUCAAGACUCUAUUUCAUUUAUUUCCACUCUGAUCUUCAUUAUAUAUCCUUUUGUCUACUUACUUAGGGCCUUGUUUAUUGUUCUUUCUCUAGCUCCUUUAGGUGUAAGUUUAGAUGGCAUAUUUGAAAUUUUUCUUGCUUCUGGAGGUUGGUCUAUAUUGCUGUGAAUUUCCCUCUUAGGACUGCUUUUGGUGUGUUCCAUAGAUUUUGUGUUGUUGUGUUCUUAUUUUCAUUUUUCUCAAGGUUACCUACUAUGUAACAUAUAGAUGUUCGUGUUUUUAUUUAAUCAUCAUACCACCAGUGGGCUCAUCCAGGGGACCCCGAUCUGGGCUGGCCCUUGCAUCGAUCUCCAGCAUUUUCUAGCAGGUUCUCUGAGAAUCCCUGCAGCAGCCUCCGGAGACGUUCCCAGACUCCGACAGUGGCACUCACCUGCUUUUGACAAAAAGUGCUCCCUUCUCGAGUCUCCCUGAUUGAGGGAAGCAUCCUUCCUGAUUGAGGCGGUGCUGAGAAGGGGUUCAAAGACCUGACAUUGUGCUGCUAGGCUUGUAGGAUCCACUGUUUCACCUUAAGAUUGUGGACAUGAGCUGCAGCCGCCAGCCAUGCUUCCUGCCUGUGACCCAGGGACAGUCAAGGACAGAUGGCUGACAGCAACCACGGGUAGGGUUCAGUCCUGAAGGGGUUUUUGCAACCAUUGCGACUAGGUCAUUGGUCGCUGCUCUCCUCGGGCAGUCCCUCCAUGUGAACUGCUCACUGCAUAGCUCCGCCCUUCCAGGCCACGGAGCUCUGGACACAGAGCCCUGGACACAGAACCCAGCAGGAUUCAAUGGUCGUGGAAAAAGUGCAAUAAAAUUCAAAAUGCGUGUUAUGCCAAAAAAAUCAUCAUACAACUCAUCUCACAGAUGGAAAUAUUAAAGACCUCUAGAAGGAAGUAAACAGCAGUUAUCAGUAUUGGCAACAAACUUGAUGUCAACAUUUCUCAAGAGAAAGUUCCACAAAGGAGUGAAAGAAGAGAUAUUAUCAUCAAUGAGUAACUCUUUGUGAGGUACCUACUGCCCAUUGGAAAAUGCUUUAUAAACCUCAGGACAGUU